AGAACGGAACGCUGGCGGCAUGCCUAACACAUGCAAGUCGAACGAGGACCUUCGGGUCUAGUGGCGCACGGGUGCGUAACACGUGGGAAUCUGCCCUUGGGUUCGGAAUAACAGUUGGAAACGACUGCUAAUACCGGAUGAUGACGUAAGUCCAAAGAUUUAUCGCCCAAGGAUGAGCCCGCGUCGGAUUAGCUAGUUGGUGGGGUAAAGGCCUACCAAGGCGACGAUCCGUAGCUGGUCUGAGAGGAUGAUCAGCCACACUGGGACUGAGACACGGCCCAGACUCCACGGGAGGCAGCAGUGGGGAAUAUUGGACAAUGGGCGAAAGCCUGAUCCAGCAAUGCCGCGUGAGUGAUGAAGGCCUUAGGGUUGUAAAGCUCUUUUACCCGGGAAGAUAAUGAACUGUACCGGAGAAUAAGCCCCGGCUAACUCCGUGCCAGCAGCCCG
rnacentral:rRNA from 1 species